CUCGCAACGCAGAGACUCAUACAGAGCUAAUAACUACCCAACCACCAGCUAUGCCCCCAAACACACAGAACAUGCUCCACAACACGUCUGUGAGCCUCACAACGCCUAGCCUGUCCUUAAUACCCACCUCAGCCUACGAUGUCACACAUGCUCCAUGGCAGGCCUCCCACCCUAGCCCGUGCAGCGGUAUCGCAACGCAGAGAUGUGCCUCGCAUGUAAACGUUCUCCCCAGAAUGCCAACGCUUGCUCUGUAAGGCAUCCAGUAUGACUGUAACACCUAGAUUUGCCUCCAGACUCAGGCUUGCACCACAAUACUCCCCCAGUGCCUCACAAUACCUACCACGAAUGCAGAGUGGACGGACCUGCCCCACAAUGUCCAGACUUAGAAAACCAAGACAUGCCCUAUCGGCCACAGGUUCCACAAAGCAAAAAUCUCCCUAUAUUGCACAGCCCAACUCUAUAUCAUAAACUCACCCCCACGCCCCACGGUAGGAACAGACCUCAAAUAUUCAGUCACAAAUUCAGUCUCGCCACUCAACACUGACACGUGUCUUACGACUCACACACGAGUUCCACGAUACCUAGAUACAGCUAACUUACAAUGGACAGGUAUACACUGUGACACAAAGGUUUCUCCCCGAAACACCAGAUUGCAUUCUGAUGCACAGAAUCCCCCCCAAACACACACACACAUGCACUCAUAGUGCCACAGGUGUUUACACUGACACAGAACUACGGGUGUAUCAGAAUCCCACAGACCAUACGUUCUUUCAGCCACAGCCGAAGACAUAUGUUUGCGCAAGUAUGAACAUAUAACCAGAGUUCCAGCAAGGACCACCUCAUGUUUAUGCAGAUACACGUAUACAUACACACAGAUGCAUACAAACACCCACAGUUUGGUGUGUAGGCACAAAGCAACAUGCAGUCACAGAUGCACACUCCACACUCGCACAGGCCCAGAGAAGCACGCAGAGACACAUGCAUGCCAACCUAGGCGUCCAGAGGAUGUGUUUACUGAUUCAUAACCUCAAAGAUGCAAGAACACAAAUGCAUGCACACACACACACACACACACGCACACAUGGAAAGACGCAUAAAUGCUUCUAGAGGCUCAUGAGGUGUGGACUCAUCCUCAGACACCCCCAGACAUUUAUGGAGAAAUGUAGACAAGUACAUAUGAGCCCACACAGACACAUAGGCAUUUGCAUGUGUGCACACAGAGCCACAGGCAGGUGCAUGGAGUCAUCCGUAUGCAGACACAGGCGUAUGCAUGUUCAUUGCUAUGCAGAGACAUAGAGACAUUUAUAAAAAACUGAAAUAUGGAGAUGUAUUCAUAAGUAGACACGUGUGUUUUAAACACGUAUCUGGCAUCUUUAUGCUCAUAGAGUCACAUGAAUUUACACACAGAGGCAAGUUGUUAUUAAAACACACCUGCAUACACAUGGUCCUGCCUGGACCUGCAACCUGGGUGCUCAUGCUGACCAUGAAAACCUAGAAACAUGCCCACAUGCACAUGUAUAGAAAUGUACCUGGGGAAGCACGUGGGGAUAUUCGUGCAUAUGGGUGUGCGUAUGGAACCACACAAGCAUGCCGUGUGCACACAUAGAUGCACUCGUACAUGGAGACAUACACAUGCACGCAGACAAAACAGAGAUGGACCCAUGAAGACAUCUCUGCAUGAAUAUGAGCAGACACAUUUAGAGAGAGACGUUUAUAUACAGAGAGAGAUGCCUCCCGUGUAGAUACAGGGGAGAGGAGAGGGAGCGGGGAGACGGAGGUUGGUCGGCUUGGCAGAGACACUUUCUUAUGCAGAAGCUCACACCUACACACAGAGACACACAGGCCUAGAGACCCAUACGAAGAUGUGCACAGGCGAACACAGCUGCACUCACACACUCACUCAGAUGCACGAGAGGAGCAAAGUCACACACACACAUGCAGAAACUCAGGUAUAUUCACGGAGACCCAGGCAAGUGCACAGAGACAGAGAUGUACGUGGAUCCUCACCCAUACGGACUCACAAAGAUACAGACUCAGAAGCUUGUGCAGGUGCCUGCGGGGACAGGUACACAGGUUUGUACACUUACAGACAUUGAGCACGGAUGUACUGAUAGAUGAGGAGACCCACAGACAUACCUGAACAAACGCAGAGGCACACAGGGACCUCCAUGUGCUGCAGGUGCAGCCCUAAAAAGACAAAAAAAGAAAAA
rnacentral:lncRNA from 1 species